GAGAGCACAGUACGAUGAAUGUUGUAAGCUGUGUUCGGGGGGGAGUUAUUGUCUAUCGUUGGCCUCUAUGGUAGAAUCAGUCAGUCGGGGGAACUCUCGUUCAUCCUAU
rnacentral:ncRNA from 1 species